ensembl:lncRNA
AGCUGAUGAAGGAACGCUUGGUCCAGGUUGGCAGAUGUUCCUGGAAGGUUUGGGAACCAGUGUCCUAAGGAGACUCACUCUGGCCUAGAGGCCCAGCAUCCUCCACCCAGUGAAUCGCAGGGGCCCACCUGCCCACGGCGAGCCUGAGCUGCAGUCUCCCGAGUUUUCUGGCCACAAAGAUGUCUGCCUGAGGCCCAGAGAAGAGAGCCAGGGGCCGGCUCAAGGCCACCUCUCCCCACAAGUCAGUUCUUGACUCAGAGCUCCAAAAUCCCUUGGAAUUUCCUGCGUGAGAGGAGCAUCUUCUGUCUAAUGAGACCCCCGGUAAAUAGUUGUAUAUUCUUAGUUGUGGCAUGUGGGAUGCCACCUCAGCGUGGCCUGACAAGUGGUGCCAUGUCCGCACCCAGGAUCCGAACCUGAGAAACCCCAGGCCACCACAGUGGAGCACAUGAACUUAACCACUCAGCCACGGGGCCGGCCCCUCAGAAUUGAAUUAAAUUCUAGGACACCUGGCUGGUGUGGCAAAGAAUUGCUUGGUGUGGAAAACGCACACACCUGGCUUCAGAAGAGAAGGAAAGCAUCGUGUGUGAGUGAGGGAGACGCAGAGGGAACUGUUCCUACAGUGGGGGCGGGGUCUGAGGGUCAGCGUGGGGCUAGGAUGGGGGCCUCUGGAUCAGGGUGGGGCCAGGGGUGGAAUCCUGGGCUCUGCCCCCAACUCCCUGUGUGACUUUGGGCAGGUUGCUACCCCCACCACUCUGGUCCUUGGUUCAUAAGAUGGUUGGGUAGGGAGGUGUGUGGGAAAUGCUUUUGGUUUUGAUUAUAAAAUAUCACUCAUCUAAAGCACAUCUAUAGGCAACUUAAAGAAAAGAGAAAGAACGCCUAUGUUAAGCACACCUGGCUUAAGAAAUAACGUUCCCAGGACCUUUGAAGCCCCUACAGGCACUGCCCCAUCCUGUCCCCUCCCCAGAGGUAACCGCUUUCUCAAAUUUGGUUUUCCUCCUUUGCUUUGCUUUGCUUUCUAUGUACAAACCCCUCGGACAAUGCUGCGUUCGUUCUGCACGUCCACGGAACCGAGCUCCAGGCAUUCUGAGAGUCGCCUGCACUGCCCAGCACGUCGUCGGGGACCCGUCCACAUAGACGAGGGCACACAGGGUUCCGCGUGUGCCGUCCCUCAGCGUACUCACCCUGUCUCCUGUUGAUGCAACUUUGGGUUGUUUCUACUUUGGGGUCUUCCUCGGUUUUGAUCUAUUUUUGCUGUUUUGCCCCCGCCUCGUGGUGCUCGUUGCACUGCUGUCUCCCGGUUGCACAUCUUGGAGAAAUUACCGAGUCGGGGGGACAUGUGCCUUCACCUUCCUGCACAACAUCAAAGUUACUCCCAAGGGGUUCUUCCUAUGUCCAUUCCCACAGCAGAAGAUAAGUGCUUUCUGUCCGGUAUCCAUGAUGACACUUUGUUUCCUCAGAUCUUUUCAUUUUUGCUGGUCCAGUCAUUGUGAAAAACAAAACCAGACAAACCACCAAAAUCUGACAACGAAUGGGGUCGGGCUUCUUGCAGAAGCUUGCGGGUUGUGACUCUCUUCUGUGAACGCUUAUCCGUGCACUCGCCCACUUUCUUUUGGGUGGUUUGCUUUUUUCUUGAUGAUUUGCAGGAUUAUUUACUUAUCCGAGGUACAAUUCCUUCAUCAGUUGCAAGAACUGCCAAGACCUCUUCCGGUUUGUGGCUUGCCAUUUGACUUUGUGUAUCGUGUCUGGGAAUGGCCAGAAGUUUUUACUAUUAAUGUACUCAAAUUGAUCAUCUUUUUCUUUGGUGCCAUUGACUUUUUAGCAACAUGGCUCUUUGUCCAAAAGAAGCCACAUAUGGAUCCCAACAUAGAAUGCCCUCCCCCCUUACAGGGCCAAUUUUUUUCCUUAAAGAAAAUUUCUUGGGCAAAUUAUCAUAAACCAAAGACCUCAUGGCCAUGGAGAUUAAUGUUACACAUUUUCAGUAGUUAAUAAAAUAAACAUAUAGUGCUCAGUGCUUUAAUAAUUGAAUCUUUUGCAACAAG